GGCUGCAACUCGCCUGUAUGAAGUCGGAAUUGCUAGUAAUCGUGGAUCAGCAUGCCACGGUGAAUACGUUCCCGGGCCUUGUACACACCGCCCGUCACACCAUGAGAGCCGGGAACACCCGAAGUCCGUAGUCUAACCUAUAUGGAGGACGCGGCCGAAGGUGGGUUUGGUAAUUGGGGUGAAGUCGUAACAAGGUACC
rnacentral:rRNA from 1 species